GACGAACGCUGGCGGCGUGCUUAACACAUGCAAGUCGAACGGAAAGGCCCUGCUUUUGUGGGGUGCUCGAGUGGCGAACGGGUGAGUAACACGUGAGUAACCUGCCCUUGACUUUGGGAUAACUUCAGGAAACUGGGGCUAAUACCGGAUAGGAGCUCCUGCUGCAUGGUGGGGGUUGGAAAGUUUCGGCGGUUGGGGAUGGACUCGCGGCUUUCAGCUUGUUGGUGGGGUAGUGGCUUACCAAGGCUUUGACGGGUAGCCGGCCUGAGAGGGUGACCGGCCACAUUGGGACUGAGAUACGGCCCAGACUCCUACGGGAGGCAGCAGUGGGGAAUAUUGCACAAUGGGCGGAAGCCUGAUACAGCAACGCCGCGUGCGGGAUGACGGCCUUCGGGUUGUAAACCGCUUUCGCCUGUGACGAAGCGUGAGUGACGGUAAUGGGUAAAGAAGCACCGGCUAACUACGUG
rnacentral:rRNA from 1 species